rnacentral:rRNA from 1 species
GACGAACGCUGGCGGCGUGCUUAACACAUGCAAGUCUAUCGUAAAGGCCCUGCUUUUGUGGGGUGCUCGAGUGGCGAACGGGUUAGUACCACGUGAGUAACCUGCCCUUUACUUUGGGAUAACUUCAGGAAACUGGGGCUAAUACCGGAUAGGAGCUCCUGCUGCAUGGUGGGUGUUGGAAAGUUUCGGCGGUUGGGGAUAGACUCGCGGCUUAUCAGCUUGUUGGUGGGGCAGUGGCGUACCAAGGCUUUGACGGGUCGCCGGCCUGAGAGGGUGACCGGCCACAUUGGGACUGAGAUACGGCCCAGACACCUACGGGAGGCAGAAGUGGGGAAUAUUGCAGAAUGGGCGGAAGACUGAGGCAGCAACGCCGCGUGCGGGAUGAGGGCCUUCGGGUUGUAAACCGCUUUCGCCUGUGACGAAGCAUGAGUGACGGUAAUGGGUAAAGAAGCACCGGCUAACUACGUG